rnacentral:rRNA from 1 species
UACGAAGGGGGCUAGCGUUGUUCGGAAUUACUGGGCGUAAAGCGCACGUAGGCGGACUAUUAAGUCAGGGGUGAAAUCCCGGGGCUCAACCCCGGAACUGCCUUUGAUACUGGUAGUCUUGAGUUCGAGAGAGGUGAGUGGAAUUCCGAGUGUAGAGGUGAAAUUCGUAGAUAUUCGGAGGAACACCAGUGGCGGAAGGCGGCUCACGUGGCUCGAUACUGACGCGUGAGGUGCGAAAGCGUGGGGAGCAAACAGG